rnacentral:rRNA from 1 species
UGGGGAAUCUUAGACAAUGGGCGCAAGCCUGAUCUAGCCAUGCCGCGUGAGCGAUGAAGGCCUUAGGGUUGUAAAGCUCUUUCAGGGGGGAAGAUAAUGACUGUACCCCCAGAAGAAGCCCCGGCUAACUCCGUGCCAGCAGCCGCGGUAAUACGGAGGGGGCUAGCGUUGUUCGGAAUUACUGGGCGUAAAGCGCACGUAGGCGGACUGGAAAGUUGGGGGUGAAAUCCCGGGGCUCAACCCCGGAACUGCCUUCAAAACUUCCGGUCUUGAGGUCGAGAGAGGUGAGUGGAAUUCCGAGUGUAGAGGUGAAAUUCGUAGAUAUUCGGAGGAACACCAGUGGCGAAGGCGGCUCACUGGCUCGAUACUGACGCUGAGGUGGGAAAGCGUGGGGAGCAAA